UUUACAUAGUGUUGCUUGGUUCUCCUACUGAUUCGAUAAUCUUGGUCUCAUCACUUAGGGAAAUACCUACCGUAGCUGUGCUGCAUCAUCCCUUCCUCUUCAGGGAAAAUACUGACGCGGACACGACCCAUCAGGCAUUAGUCCAGAUCUUUUUGUCCCUGUUGCAGAACCGGGACUAAAGGCCCUCUAGAAGCGGGACUGAUGCCCUGUUUUCUACUAGUGAUGACUUAGGAAUCCGCAAGACCAUGGUUAAUAAUGUGCCAACUGUUGGCUAUAUGGUGUUGCCAUGUCAUAUAUAGCCACCACUUAUAGUCACUCAUACAAUAUGGUUAUCUAUAAGGUUGGCUAUAAGAGUACUACUUUUUCUCAUCUUCUCUCUAUCUCUUUCUUCAUAUUUAUUGUAUUGACCUAAGAAUCUGCAUAUAGCUAGGUUCUUGCAUGAGAGCCCACUCUCCUUACUUUUUCAUGUCUUUCUUCUCCACAUAGGCAAAAUUGCCACAUAAGCGAGCUAUAAGCCUGCUAUUGUACUUGCUCUAAGCACCUCUAGAUGAGAAACACUAUGCACAACCCAUUCUAGCAAGGCUAACGUACAAACUCCCGUAUGUAUGUGUAUGAGUGAAAUUGACAUUUCAUGUAACACUCAUGUUGGAUUUGUGAUGAUCUACGACAUGUACUACAUCUGAAAUGAUGCUUCUUGUUCAACGCUCGAUAAUGCUUUACAUAAUUAACGUGAUCCUCAUGUCCAACACUCGAUGAUACUUUUCAUAAUUAACGUGAUCCCCCAUCUAAAAAAUAAUGCUCUUCAUAAUUACCGCGACCCUCCCAUCCAACGCUAGACGAUACUUUUCAUAAUUAGCGCAAUCCUCCCAUCCAAUGCUUGAUAAUACUUUCUGUAAUUAACAUGAUCCUCCCAUACAAAGUAUGAUACUCUCAAUAAUUAAUACGAUCUUCCCGUCCAAAGAAUAUGAUACUCUCCAUAAAUUAACGCAUUUUUUAAUGUAAAGAUUUGAUUAGAUUAUUCCAAGUUAAAUUAGCGGCUAGGAGGCGAACGUAAAAACUCCUCUUUAAUAGUAGAGAUACAUAAUGUGUUUGCAUAUUCGUGAAAAAAACAAAAUCUUGACAUUAAAAGUGCCAAGAUUUCGGUAAUCUGUCUUUUUGAUUUUGAUUAAUGACGCGCUUUUAUUUCAAGUGUAUGCAUGGAUUGUUGAGUAUGUAUAAAACGAGGACACCCCCUGCGGGGUUACGAGCAGCAGACGAGCACGCCUAGCACUGUCUCACUCCCUCCAUGGCCAGGUCCAUGAACACCUUCCAUACAGCAGUGGUACUCUCGGUGCUUCUUUUCAUCUGCUUUGCUAACCACGGGCAAUGCAGAAACUUGGAGCAAGUCAUGGAAAACGGCAGCAAGGUCCACUUACCAUACGGGCUCUGCCAACCUAGAACCUGCGUAGAUAUGCCGGAUUGUUACUGCUGUUCGAUAGACAACACCUGCCACCCUUCGAGUGAAACAUGCAUUAAAGCUUGUCAAAGCUCUUUCUCCACACGUGUUUUCCGCAGCCCUCCCAUCUAAUCUUUACAUGCAUUGCAUGGCUUAAUUCUGGAAUAAUGUGUAAUUUUUAUUGCUCGGUUGCUCCACGAUCCGAGUUUUCGAGUGUUGAGAAUUGAAAAGUUCUGUUGCGUUCCUCAUCACAAAAUAAAUAGAUAUAUGUUGUGUUAAUCUA